AAAUUUAAAAAUUUUCGUGAGCA
rnacentral:tRNA from 1 species